rnacentral:rRNA from 1 species
GUAACACGUAGGUAACCUGCCCAUGUGCCCGGGAUAACUUCUGGAAACGGAUGCUAAAACCGGAUAGGUAGCAGACAAGCAUUUGACUGCUAUUAAAGUGGCUAAGGCCAUGAACAUGGAUGGACCUGCGGUGCAUUAGCUAGUUGGUGAGGUAACGGCCCACCAAGGCGACGAUGCAUAGCCGGCCCUGAGAGGGCGGACGGCCACAUUGGGACUGAGACACGGUCCAGACUCCUACGGGAGGCAGCAUG